GCACCCAGAACGUGUGACCCACGUGUGGGCAACGUGCAUCAUGGAGUGUGAGAGGUGUAUGAUGGCAGUCAUAUCUGGUGGUCACUUUUCGGGGUUGCACUUUUCAUGUGGUGCCCUGAGUCAGGCGGUUGGAGCAAGUGCAGUCCUGGGUUGCGUGCGC
rnacentral:SRP_RNA from 16 species